CUGACGAGUCCCAAAUAGGACGAAGUGACGCGCGUC
rnacentral:hammerhead_ribozyme from 1 species